GAAACAUCCUUUAUUGAUAAUAAAAAGUUAUAAGUACAAAUUUAAGCUCUGGAAUUAUAAAAUGUGUCAGUCAAUAAUUGACUUCUAGAGUACAAAUCUAACAAACCCUCACUUGACCUAAAGUCAAUUGGCCAUAUACCUAAGAUCCAUCUUCUCAAAGUGAGCUUCGAUCUUCUGUUGGCUGAGAGGUUUCGUCAGCAGGUCCACCA
rnacentral:lncRNA from 1 species